GUCCCAGAACAUGAUGAAUAUGAAAACAGGUUGAGUGCAAAGAAAUAUGUGCUGUACUUGGGCAAACGUGAACAAACGCCAUCAGGAUGUACAAGAAUAAGCUCUGAGCCAAACAACGGCUAAGCAGCCCUGAGCUAACAUCUGUACCCAUCUUCCUCUACUUCAUAUGUGGGACGACUGCCACAGCAUGGCUUGACAAGGGGUGCAUAGGUGUCCACCCAGGAUUCCAACUGGCAAACCUCAGGCCAGAAGUGGAACUUGUGAACUUAACCACUGCGCCACCAGGCUGGUCCCCCAGAAAGAGUGAACCUCCAGCAAUUUGUCAGUUACAGUUGAAGUUUUCCUCUCCCGGGACCAGUUCUGGAGGAGGUUUCAGCUCUUGAGUUUUGCUUGGCCUAUGCUGAGCAAGGAACUAUUAUUAGUGUUGGUGAUACCAAAAUUUGAAGACAAAAUUGCCUGUCACUGUGGAGCUUCCAAAAUGAGCAUCAUCCAUCUUUCAAGCUUAUGAUGAUGCAACUGAUGUUGAUUUAGAGACCGUUUGUUCAGAGUUCCUCCUGAAGAUUCUCCUCUAUCAAGUUGAUACCUUGGGUCAUUCAAGAAGAAAUGAAGACAUUUGCAUGUGAAUUAUUUGGUUACAUUUUCUUUUACAUUUCUUCUACGGUCAUUUUUUAGUAGUUGAUAUUUUUCUAAAACUUUUUCAUAUCAUGCAAGUUUUCAAAUAUGUCUUUAUAAGUGGUAUUUUAUAGUUUUAGCAUUCUUUGCUUAUCUCUAUACCAGUCAUCAUUCAAUUUCUUUUCUAAUUUUGUAGAAUUUCUCUUCAGACUCUUGAGUUAAUUAGCUUUUCAUGAUUUUUUUUUGUUUUUUUUUUUGGUGAGGAAGAUUAUCCCUGAACUAACAUCUGUUGCCAAUCUUCCUCUUUUUGCUUGAGCAAGAUUGUCUUUGAGCUAACAUCUGUGGCAAUAUUCCUCUAUUUUGUAUGUGGGAUCUCUCCAUAGUGUGGCUUGAUGAAUGGUGUGUAGGUCUGCACCUGGGAUCCAAACCCACGAACCCUGGGCCACUGAAGUGGAAUGUGCAAAUUUAACCUCUAUGCCACUGGGCUGGCCCCAUGAAUUUUUUUUAUCAUUUCUUAGUCCUAUAACUUAAUCUUUGAUAUAUUUUUCAGAUUUGAUGCUAUUUUUAAAAAUAAUUUUUGUGUAAUCUUUAUAAUUCCCUUUCCUAUUAUGUCCUUAUUUCAUUAUUGUACUACAAAAUUUUUAAUUGAAUGCUUAAUUAUUUACCUUUAUUCUUUCUUAUUUUGAAAUAUUUAUGACAAUUUUCUCUGUGCCCUUUAUUAAAAAUAUAUUUAUUGGUUAUGAAAUGUAACAAUUUGACUAUAAUUUUAUUCUAGAUAUUUUACAAUUGAUAUUUGACUCCUUCUUUGUCAUAAGAGUUAUCAAAAAAUCUUCAUGUGUAGUGAUUUCACAGAAAUAGUAUAGUAGAGAGUUCAAAAAAUUGGUCCCUCCACUGAAGCAACCAUUAAACUGGCAAAAACACAGAAUCAACUUUUUCAGAAGUCCGGAAUCUAAUAAAAAACUUAGAUAAACAGUGGAAUGCCUAAUGAAGAAUGAGGCUACUAAAUCUUGGUAAAUUAGCCCAUCUAUAAUUCCCCAUUCCCCAGAUUUUCACCAGCCAUUGCCAUGUUCCUGGGGCAGAUUGCUGGUGUAAGGAGGUAGAGAGGGUUUAGAGGGAAAAACAAUAUGGAUCUUGGUAUUUAAAUAUUAUUUUUAUGCAUUUUGAUCAGUCUGGAGGUCCCUGAGAGACAGUAUAGAGGCUAACCUUUGUUUUGCUAUCCUUUGGAGCUAUGGCAGUUUUCCUAGCAGCAGAUGUAGAAAGCAUUUAAAGACAUGUGCCAGCCAUAGCUUCCUGGAGCAAGAGGGAGCAGACAGAGCAAGGAGUAGUCAGACCCAAAAGCAUGGGAAAGAGGAGGCUGAGGAGGAAAUUCUUGGAGGAAUAAAGGCUUUAGAAGGACUACUAUGUAUAUGGGGAAUCUGGAGUGCCACACAUAUGCCCAGGUAUGGGUGCAUACUCAGAAAAUAUCUAAGAGGAUAUUAGGCUUACCCUAAUGGCUGAUCUAUGUGCUCCAUUCAAAUAGUAAGUGAAGGCUAACACAGAGCUGUAGACAACCAGGCUUAGCAUUGAAGGAGUGCCACACACAGAGCUAAUCUGCAAAGACUGGAACAGUAUUUUUUUCAUUUUGGCCACAAGCAUUUAAGGAAAUCUCUGUCAAAUCACUAGGUGACCAAUGAAAUAAUGGAAUAGGAACCCCAGUGACCACACAUGACACAGAGUACAGUCUUUGGAAAAAUAGUUUGGAAAAGUCACUAAAUGUGUAAAAAACUGUAGUUUGCAACAACCAGCAAGAGCAAACUCUGGAGACAAGGAGAAUCUGAUUUACAAAAUUCUCAUGUUAUACUAUUCAAAAUUUUGAGUUUUCAAUAGAAAAUUAAAGCCAUACCAAGGAACAGGAAAGUAUAGUCUAUUCAUAGGAUAAAAAAGAAAUGGACAGAAACCAUCCCUGAGAAAGUGCAGAUACUGGAUUUGAUAGAGGCUUACAUCAACUGUUUUAAAUAUGUUCAAGAGUUAAAGGAAAAUGGACAAACCACUAAAGGAAGCAAAGAGAAUGAUAUAUAAACAAAUAGAGAUUAUC
ensembl:lncRNA